rnacentral:rRNA from 1 species
GACGGAGGAUGCAAGUGUUAUCCGGAAUCACUGGGCGUAAAGCGUCUGUAGGUGGUUUAAAAAGUCUGCUGUUAAAAAUUGAAGCUUAACUUCAAAGGUGCCGUAGAAACUUUUAAACUUGAGGAUGGUAGGGGUAGAAGGAAUUUCCAGUGGAGCGGUGAAAUGCGUAGAUCUUGGAAAGACCACCAAUGGCGAAGGCACUCUACUGGGCCAUGACUGACACUGAGAGACGAAAGCUAGGGGAGCAAAUGGG